UUCAUUUAAUCCGGUGAUCUGUUACGUGUCAUUGGUGUGACCUUGUAGGUUUAGUCAAGAGUAAGUUGUGAGUUCAAUAUCCAUUAGAACUCACUGAUCGGAAGCAUUGCUCCAGCUAGCUGUUCCGAUCACUUGAUCUCACUGAAUUUAUUGUUCGCAAUUAAUCUGAACCUUGGUAUUAGACUUAAUGCACCUUGGGUGAAGGACAUAUUUCCUUCAGAUAAAGGCCACAUUAUAUUCGAGGCAUCAUAGAUUGUGUUCCUAUGCCGUGACUUAUCUGAUUUCUUUGUGGUUUGACAUACUGGAUGUCUGCUCUACUAUAAGGAAUGGUUGAAAGAAAUCGCAUGUUAACAAAAGAAAAAUAAAAGCUUGAAUGUAAUAUGCAAUAUAUGAUGUAUCAACAUGAUAUUGUUUCAUCAUAUUUAAUGUUCAUGAUUCAUCUGUUUUAUUAUGUCAGCUUCUCAGCACCAUCAACACCUUAGCUUCAUCAGAUUGAUUUUCAAUCUCCUUGGUGGUUGGUGAAUAUUGUGGAGUAUGAUGGAAAACCAAGUAGAUUGGAGCAAAAACAGGGGAUGUGCGACCGAACAGAUACUUUGUGCGCCCGAACAAUGAAGAAGUGGUGGACUCAAGGAAGAUGCAGAUAUGUGCGACCGAACGGCUCUAUGUGUUCGAUCGCACAGAAUUUCUGUGCGGUCGAACAUGACGAAGGAAUUCAGUCUUCGCUUUGUUUUCUCGCACAAAAAAUGAUGUGUGCUCGCACCAGCUUUUCCCAUUCGAUCGCACAGGGGGUCUGUGCAACCGAACGUCGACGCGGGCUGCGAUAAUUCGAAUUUUAGCUUCUAUUUGGGGAAACUUAUAAAUAACUUUUUCGUUUAAUUUUCAUUAUCAUUCAAUUUUAGAACUUCAUAAUUAAACUUUUUAGAAUAUUAGAGAGAAUUUCUUAGUUUUCAAGCUUUGUUUUGAGGAGAGAGAAACUCCAUUGGAGGAAGCUUCAAGUUGUAAAUCUCUUCAACUCUUUAAUUCUUUUGCAAUUUCAAUUCAAUUUCUU